UUAUACCCAAUCUAAUACACAAUCAUUCAUCAUGAAUCAAAGGUACAUUUCUCAUCCCACAGUACAAACAGUUUCAUAUACAUGAACGGAGUUCAAACACCACAAUCGGAAAAUAACCUCUUUANACACAUGCAGUAAAAUUUCACAUAACUAUGAUACAUUUCUACAAUCAAACAAUUGCAAUACACUCAAUACUAGCUCCCCUU
rnacentral:lncRNA from 1 species